UCGUGGCGCCGCCUGGGGGUCCCUGCGCCCCGGAAAGAGACAGCAGGCACUGGAAAGCGAGGCCGGUGGGCGGGCGAGUCGGGAGGCUCGGGCGGCCGAGGUCCGGGAGCGGAUCCCAGGUGGCGGGAGCUGUUGCCACGCUGGCUCCCACCGGCCUCUUUCCAGAUCAUGAAGAUAUUUUUCCUUCAUGAAAUUGAGAGGAAGUCCGUAGUAAAUCUGCCCGUUGACCAGGUAGUGCCAAGAGAAUCGGUGCCCUGGCAGGAGGGACUGGCUUACGCCACCCUGUGCAGGAUCAUCUUCUCAGCUUACAGAGCCUAGUGUGAUUCAACAACCCUCCAUCUCUGCCCCCAACAUGCCCAACUGAUCUGGUGGAGGGAACUGAAGAUGAAGGCCUCUCAGGCACCAUGGAUGGGAUGGGUGUGUGUGAAGGGGGCAGGGUCCCCAGGAGCUGCCCCAGGUCUGGCUGGACAGUUGCACGGGAAGUCCUGUUUGUGAACUCAACGUUUCCAUGGCUUUUCCAUUAAACUUUACCCCAAAUC
rnacentral:antisense_RNA from 1 species